rnacentral:rRNA from 1 species
GACGAACGCUGGCGGCGUGCCUAAUACAUGCAAGUAGAACGCUGAAGAGAGGAGCUUGCUCUUCUUGGAUGAGUUGCGAACGGGUGAGUAACGCGUAGGUAACCUGCCUUGUAGCGGGGGAUAACUAUUGGAAACGAUAGCUAAUACCGCAUAACAAUGGAUGACACAUGUCAUUUAUUUGAAAGGGGCAAUUGCUCCACUACAAGAUGGACCUGCGUUGUAUUAGCUAGUAGGUGAGGUAACGGCUCACCUAGGCGACGAUACAUAGCCGACCUGAGAGGGUGAUCGGCCACACUGGGACUGAGACACGGCCCAGACUCCUACGGGAGGCAGCAGUAGGGAAUCUUCGGCAAUGGGGGGAACCCUGACCGAGCAACGCCGCGUGAGUGAAGAAGGUUUUCGGAUCGUAAAGCUCUGUUGUUAAGGAAGAACGAGUGUGAGAAUGGAAAGUUCAUACUGUGACGGUACUUAACCAGAAAGGGACGGCUAACUACGUGCCAGCAGCCGCGGUAAUACGUAGGUCCCGAGCGUUGUCCGGAUUUAUUGGGCGUAAAGCGAGCGCAGGCGGUUAGAAAAGUCUGAAGUGAAAGGCAGUGGCUCAACCAUUGUAGGCUUUGGAAACUGUUUAACUUGAGUGCAGAAGGGGAGAGUGGAAUUCCAUGUGUAGCGGUGAAAUGCGUAGAUAUAUGGAGGAACACCGGUGGCGAAAGCGGCUCUCUGGUCUGUCACUGACGCUGAGGCUCGAAAGCGUGGGGAGCGAACAGG